CUGGCAUGCUUACAUUUUUACAAUUAUAACAGAUUAUACUUCAUUUAGCAGUAAUAAUUGGUGCCAUUCCAUUUUAAAUAGACUUAUUUUACAGACUUUCCACAAAUGCUUGUGUUAAUAUCUGUUUAUCUGCACUUUUGCCCUCUUUGAUCCAGACAAUAAGCUCAAUUUGACCCGACAGGCGAUCACUAAUGGUCCUGCCUGUCCAAGAUGGACGACACUGAGGGAAGAUUGUUGCACUCUGCCCUAAACAUCCAAUAAUAUUUGACCCUGGACACCCCGUCAGACGUCCUUACAGGAGUGGUGUCCCCUGGUGGCCGCCAUCGCUCACACUGCACAGUGGGACCCCGACCCCCACGUUCAGGAUCCCUGCCUUUAUCUCUGCGUCAAUUACCAAACAACAGAAAACGUGUAAAUUGGACCUCAGAUUCAGAUGGUGCGCUUGCAGAACACUAUGGAUGAAUGGAUGGAUAUGGCCAGAGCUGACUGACUGCUCCUUAUGGACUCUGAGGUGGAUUGGAAGAUUGCAGAUGGUGCGUCUGCAACACUCUGUCCAGACCAUGCCCCCAGGGGGAAGGUCUGCAUCUUAGUCAGGUAAAUAAACCCAUCCAACACUCUCCAACCAUGAUGCUUUUAAGUUGUCAAUACACCAUCCAGUCUAAUAACUCACUGGUUGACAGAGAAGAUGUUAGCAAUGCAUGUUAUAAAGGAGAUAAUGGGGACAUUCAGGACAGGUAAAAUCCUUUCCGCCACAACAUUUCAAGCUACAAAUGAGUAACUUUUGUUGCGUUUAGUCUCACAAGUCAUUUUGAUAGUCCUCCAUAACUUCAUAAAAGCUGAAGAGGUAUGACUGAAUACUUCAACAUCACUAAUGAUUGUCAUUAAAAUCAUCACUGGGACACAAAUGUCCCGCAGACGGUAAUUAUCACAGAGCCGGGGUGAAAACAUCUCCCCAGGCCGAUGUGUGAAUGCAUGUGAAAGUGCUCCGUUUGUGCUUUUUAAGCUCUUAAGGACCUUUGCUGCACCGUCCCCUGGACUUAAGGCUGAUUAAAGGCUUUGGCCUCACAGAUGGCAUGCCAAGCGUGUUAAAGUCAAAUGAGUGACAACGGCCGGCAGCGCCCGGGCCUCAUGGGGGAAAAUAAUAAAAAAAAAAAAAGAGGUUGAGGAGAUGAUGUUGGUGUAAUUACUCUAAUGCAGGAACCGUCCACAUGUCACCGUUGUGCAGAGUGACGGAGUUAGGAUUAAAAUGAAGCUGGAAGGGGCGUGGUUUCUGACAACAUGUGGUUGCUGAAAACAUUAACAGAUUUGGCAGCAGGCUGCGGUCACCCAGGUUGAUUUAAACAGAGAUUCUAGCACAGCAUUCAGCUAUGGUGGGAUUCAACUAAAAUUCUAGUUAUUAGAGUUUGCUUUAUGCAGAUUAAAAAUAAUACAAAACAUCAAUCCAUCUAUGUUCUUCUGAUUAUCUGAUUUAGGGUUCUGGAGCUGAACCGUGAAACUUCCCAGUUCAUAUUGGGGAAUCUCAGGCCAGAGGAGCCAAAAACUUUACUCAAGUAGGAGUAGCUCUACUUCAACAUAUUUUUACUCAAGUAAAAAGUAGUCAGCCAAGAAAUUGCUCAAGAGGAUAAAAGUAUUCUGUAAGAAGGUGUUGGGAUUAAUGUUUAUACUUCAUUAACCAAUUUAUCUUGUUAUGAUGUAGUAAUGUAAGCUUCUGAUAUAAUCAUAUUACUCACAUGAUAGCUUAAU